rfam:Gossypium hirsutum cultivar TM-1 chromosome 21, whole genome shotgun sequence
AAUCCAUGGUAUGGGCAUGUCUGAAUUAACCUUUUAAAACUCUCCUAAGCUUCAUGAAAACUUUCUCGUUCCAAUUGUUUGAACAUUGCAAUCUCCCUAUUCAAUU